UACGGAGGGUGCAAGCGUUGCUCGGAAUCACUGGGCGUAAAGCGACCGCAGGCGGCCUGACAAGUUGGAUGUGAAAGCCCACGGCUCAACCGUGGAAGCGCAUCCAAAACUGCGUCGCUGGAGUCUCGGAGAGGAAGGUGGAAUGCUUGGUGUAGAGGUGAAAUUCGUAGAUAUCAAGCAGAACACCUGCGGCGAAGGCGGCCUUCUGGACGAUGACUGACGCUGAGACGCGAAAGCGUGGGGAGCAAACAGG
rnacentral:rRNA from 1 species